rnacentral:lncRNA from 1 species
AGAACAGCACGUAGCAGGCCCCCGUGGAGGAUUAACACAGUGGCUGAACACCGGGAAGGAACUGGCACUUGGAGUCCGGACAUCUGAAACUUGGACUGUGAAUGCAGCCCAUGAAAAAGAGGGUUUUCGGAAGCUUGACAUUUAUGAGGGUGAGGAGUUGACAAGCCGACAUCAGUCUCCAGAGUGAAUCCAAGGAGUGGACCCAAGACAUUUGUGUUCUGUGAUGUGGUGGCAUGUUACCUGUCAUCUCUGAUGCAUAACUCCUAAAGUGUUUGCGUCUGGGGCAGUUGUACAGAUUGCAAAGGAUAAUACUCAAGAUGUCCUCCAAGGCCAACUACUCAUCAGUUUAUUCAUGUUUCUGGGACUGGAUUCAUGAAUUCAUCCUUUCAACUAUUUCAACAAGCUUUUUCAUGUAACUAAUCUGUGGAAGGUAGAAAGGGGAAAACUGUUGGGUGCUAAAAUGACAACUGGUUCAAGGUACAAUGGCGAAUAUUUUUAUUUCUGCAACUUUUCUUAGAGGUUGGAAACUAGACUGGGCAGGAAGAUUCCUUUUUGUAAGAUUAGUCUCCAGUUUUCAUCAAGCAGUUUAGUGGGGUAUUUUAGGCCCAGUUCCCUCUCCACAGUCCCCAAAGGUCUUCUGUUAACUUUAAAUCAGCAAAGAGAGAGAUCUCUGCCAAGUAGCAACUGCAAGAGCAUGUGGGUCAAAGUUACCAGCAGACACUCAAAGCCCAUUCCCUUUACUUCAACACCGCUUUAUAAAUUAUUUUAGAGACGUUGUCAGGUUGGUAUCAGAGAACUCCCAAGAUGGUCGUGGGCCACUUCCAAGAUGGUGGCAAGAGUCGUAUUCUCUGACCUGGGGUUCUUGGUCUCAUGGAUUCCAAGGAAUGGAAUCUUGCGCCAUGUGGAGGAGCGUCAGAUAAUUAGGCAGCAGUC